rnacentral:lncRNA from 1 species
GGAAAAAGAAGUCAGGAAUGUACUGAAUUAGCUCAGCAAUGGUCAGCUGCAUAUUGAAUUUCUUUGAAAAAGACUUGGAUAGAUUUUAACUAGGAAGGGAUAGAGAUAUAGGAGAACAGGGGGGUAUCACUGCUGGCAAAUGAAAUUUUCAGAACUCACUGGUCAAAAAUCAAAAGUUUUAAAAAUUUAUUUACAGAUUUUCAAAUUAUUCCUAGUACAGGUGAAGACCUCAGCAUGGCAAGCAUAAGACUAUUAAAAUGCCGUCCCAGCUGUCUUGUGCGGACCCCUUCAAAGUUUAAUCCACUGGUCUGGUCUCCUGUUAAAUAUACCCUCAUUUAACAACUUGGAAACCCUGGAGCUCAUGGAUCCACCACACGAUGUCGAUAAGGUUUGUAAGCAGGGGAGGGGUGAAAAGACGUGUAGCUCGGUGCAGAAUGCGCCGUGUCCGGGAGAUGGAGGUGUUGGCCAGCCGCGCCCCGGAGAGGCCGCGAACGAGAGGCGGCGGCGCUGCACGGUCUGGGAGCCGCGCACGGAGAGCAGGCGCUGUGGAACCGUGCACAGGACUGCCUUCUUAAGAAGACUGACCCGUGACACAUGGCAUCAUUAA